AGACAGAGGGUGCAAACGUUGUUCGGAAUUACUGGGCAUAAAGAGCACGUAGGCGGCUCGCCAAGUCACGCGUGAAAUCCCCCGGCUCAACCGGGGAACUGCGCGCGAUACUGGUGGGCUCGAGGUCGGUAGGGGUGAGCGGAACUCCAGGUGGAGCGGUGAAAUGCGUAGAUAUCUGGAGGAACACCGGUGGCGAAAGCGGCUCACUGGACCGAAACUGACGCUGAGGUGCGAAAGCUAGGGUAGCAAACGGGAUUAGAAACCCCAGUAGUCC
rnacentral:rRNA from 1 species